CUAUCUGUGAUCAGUUCUCUCCUUUCUGAAAUAUAUGUCUCAGUGGGAAUCAGCUGUUGAUGAAGUGUCUCUAUUUUUAUUUUGCUGAAAAUACCUUUGUUUCAGGCUUAUUUAUUUCUUAUAUAUUUUAAAAUUUUAAAUUGUGACAUAAAAAACAGAGAGUAAAGUGCACACAACUUAAGUAUAUAUAUAUUUAUAUAUUCACCUAACAUAUAUAUAAUUUAUUAUUAUGUAUAUUUUUCAUUCUUUCUUUCUGUGUAUACACAGGCAAAUAAUUAGGAUACAUGCACACACAUACUUUUUUNNNNNNNNNNGUUGUUCUUUGAGAGCGAGUUUCACUCUGUUGCCCAGGCUGGAGUGCAAUGGCACGAUCUCGGCUCACUGCAACCUCCACCUCCCAGGCUCAAGCGAUUCUCCUACCUCAGCCUCCCGAGUAGCUGGGAUUAUAGGUGCCCGCCACCACACACAGCUAAUUUUGUAUUUUUAGUAGACACAGGGUUUCGCCGUGUUGGUCAGGCUGGUCUCAAACUCCUGACUUCAGGUGAUCCACCCACCUUGGCUUCCCAAAGUUCUGGGAUUACAGGCAUGAGCCACCGCGCCUGGUCUGGGCCAGAUUUUUAUAUUGGUUUUCAGUAAAAAUGUUUAUCUAUAAUAUUUCAUUAUAGAGUCCAGUAGCUUGAUACUGAUACUGACUUGAUACAGCAUGAAGUUUCUAGUGCCACACACAGUUUUUAGAAAACCUUUAAGCCUGGCUCAUGUGGGAUAUAAACAUAAUGUUUAUCUUAUCUCACAAAUGUAUGUGAAAUGUAUAAUUACACCUUAGGAAUCCAAAAAUGGUCUGCAAAGAGUGAGCAGAGGCACCAGAUCAAUGUUGUUGGUUCUUUACACUGGUGAGAUUCUACUUGAUGAGUAUUAAAAACACUGCUUUCUGAGAAUUCUUUAUCACAAAAUAGCAGUUGGGGAUAUGGGAGGAACUAAGGCAUGCUUUGUAUCUGUGUAGAUCGUUACUUCCAUUUUUUUUUUCCUCAUUCAAAAUACUUUUCAUGGGGUUGGGAAUUGAUUAUUUCUCCAAAGCUUUUAUGAAUUUAAAGCAUGCCAGUCAAGAUAAUAAAAUCUGUUAAGAAUGUCAGACUUUGGCCGGGUGCAGUGGCUCACGCCUGUAAUCUCAGCACCUUGGGAGGUCAAGGCGAGUGGAUUGCUUGAGGCCAGGAGCUCGAGACCAGCCUGGCCAACAUAGUGAAACUCCGUCUUUACUAAAAAU
rnacentral:lncRNA from 1 species